rnacentral:rRNA from 1 species
AGAGUUUGAUCCUGGCUCAGGAUUAACGCUGGCGGCGUGCCUAACACAUGCAAGUCGAGCGAGAAACCUCUUCUCUGAUCCUUCGGGUGAAGUAUUGAGGUGGACAGCGGCGGACGGGUGAGUAACGCGUAGGCAACCUGCCCAUAGGCGAGGGAUAGCCUCGGGAAACCGGGAUUAAUACCUCAUAAGACUACUUAGUGACAUCACUAGAUAGUCAAAGGUUUACCACCUAUGGAUGGGCCUGCGUCUGAUUAUGUUAGUUGGUGAGGUAACGGCUCACCAAGACUACGAUCAGUAGCCGACCUGAGAGGGUGAUCGGCCACAUUGGAACUGAGACACGGUCCAAACUCCUACGGGAGGCAGCAGUGGGGAAUAUUGCACAAUGGGGGAAACCCUGAUGCAGCAACGCCGCGUGAAUGAAGAAGGUCCUAAGGAUUGUAAAGUUCUUUUCUAUGGGAAGAAAAAAAUGACGGUACCAUAGGAAUAAGCUCCGGCUAACUACGUGCCAGCAGCCGCGGUAAUACGUAGGGAGCGAGCGUUAUCCGGAUUUAUUGGGCGUAAAGGGUGCGUAGGCGGCUGACUAAGCGCAGGGUGAAAGGCAAUGGCUCAACCAUUGUAAGCCUUGCGAACUGGUCAGCUUGAGUGUAGGAGAGGUAAGCGGAACUCCCAGUGUAGCGGUGAAAUGCGUAGAUAUUGGGAAGAACACCAGCGGCGAAGGCGGCUUACUGGACUAUAACUGACGCUGAGGCACGAAAGCGUGGGGAGCAAACAGGAUUAGAUACCCUGGUAGUCCACGCUGUAAACGAUGAGCACUAGUUGUUGGCAUGAAAGUGUCAGUGACGCAGUUAACGCAAUAAGUGCUCCGCCUGGGGAGUACGCACGCAAGUGUGAAACUCAAAGGAAUUGACGGGGACCCGCACAAGCAGCGGAGCAUGUGGUUUAAUUCGAAGCAACGCGAAGAACCUUACCAGGGCUUGACAUCCUAUUGACAGACGUGUAACGGCGUCCUCCUUCGGGCAAUAGUGACAGGUGGUGCAUGGUUGUCGUCAGCUCGUGUCGUGAGAUGUUGGGUUAAGUCCCGCAACGAGCGCAACCCUUGUCUUUAGUUGCCAUCAGGUUAAGCUGGGCACUCUAGAGAGACUGCCGCGGAUAACGCGGAGGAAGGUGGGGAUGACGUCAAAUCAUCAUGCCCCUUAUGUUCUGGGCUACACACGUGCUACAAUGGUCGGUACAAUGAGAAGCGAAGUCGCAAGGCGGAGCAAAUCACCAAAACCGAUCCCAGUUCGGAUUGCAGGCUGAAACUCGCCUGCAUGAAGUCGGAGUUGCUAGUAAUCGCAGAUCAGAAUGCUGCGGUGAAUGCGUUCCCGGGUCUUGUACACACCGCCCGUCACACCAUGGAAGCUGGGGGUGCCCGAAGUUGGCAAGGAAAAUGCUACCUAAGGCAAAAUCAGUGACUGGGGUGAAGUCGUAACAAGGUAACCGUA